rnacentral:rRNA from 1 species
GUCUACGGCCACACCACCCUGAACAAGCCCCAUGGCUGGCCUCGGAAGAAGCUAAGCAGGGUUGAGCCUGCUUAGUACUCAGAUGGGAGACCACCUAGGAAGACCAGGUGCUAUAGGCA